AACCGGAACGCUACGUCUCGCC
rnacentral:siRNA from 1 species